GAUGAACGCUGGCGGCGUGCCUAAUACAUGCAAGUCGAGCGAACGGACGAGAAGCUUGCUUCUCUGAUGUUAGCGGCGGACGGGUGAGUAACACGUGGAUAACCUACCUAUAAGACUGGGAUAACUUCGGGAAACCGGAGCUAAUACCGGAUAAUAUUUUGAACCGCAUGGUUCAAAAGUGAAAGACGGUCUUGCUGUCUCUUAUAGAUGGAUCCGCGCUGCAUUAGCUAGUUGGUAAGGUAACGGCUUACCAAGGCAACGAUGCAUAGCCGACCUGAGAGGGUGAUCGGCCACACUGGAACUGAGACACGGUCCAGACUCCUACGGGAGGCAGCAGUAGGGAAUCUUCCGCAAUGGGCGAAAGCCUGACGGAGCAACGCCGCGUGAGUGAUGAAGGUCUUCGGAUCGUAAAACUCUGUUAUUAGGGAAGAACAUAUGUGUAAGUAACUGUGCACAUCUUGACGGUACCUAAUCAGAAAGCCACGGCUAACUACGU
rnacentral:rRNA from 1 species